rnacentral:rRNA from 1 species
GAUGAACGCUGGCGGCGUGCCUAAUACAUGCCAGUCGAGCGAACAGACGAGGAGCUUGCUCCUCUGACGUUAGCGGCGGACGGGUGAGUAACACGUGGAUAACCUACCUAUAAGACUGGGAUAACUUCGGGAAACCGGAGCUAAUACCGGAUAAUAUAUUGAACCGCAUGGUUCAAUAGUGAAAGACGGUUUUGCUUUCACUUAUAGAUUGAUCCGCACCGCAUUAGCUAGUUGGUAAGGUAACGGCUUACCAAGGCGACGAUGCGUAGCCGACCUGAGAGGGUGAAUGGCCAGCCUGGAAGUGAGAAUGGGUCCAGACUCCGACGGGAGGAAGCAGUAGGGAAUCUUACGGGAGGGGCGAAAGGCUGACGGAGCAAAGCCGCGUGAAGGAUGAAGGACCUAGGAUCGGAAAACUCUGUUAUUAGGGAAGAAGAAAUGUGUAAGUAACUAUGCACGUAUUGACGGUACCUAAUCAGAAAGCCACGGCUAACUACGUG